rnacentral:rRNA from 1 species
AGAGUUUGAUCCUGGCUCAGAACGAACGCUGGCGGCAGGCUUAACACAUGCAAGUCGAACGAGAAGCUAGAGCUUGCUCUAGUGGACAGUGGCAGACGGGUGAGUAACGCGUGGGAACCUACCUAGUGGUACGGAAUAACUCAGGGAAACUUGUGCUAAUACCGUAUGAGCCCUUCGGGGGAAAGAUUUAUCGCCAUUAGAUGGGCCCGCGUCAGAUUAGCUAGUUGGUGAGGUAAUGGCUCACCAAGGCGACGAUCUGUAGCUGGUCUGAGAGGAUGAUCAGCCACACUGGGACUGAGACACGGCCCAGACUCCUACGGGAGGCAGCAGUGGGGAAUAUUGCACAAUGGGCGAAAGCCUGAUGCAGCCAUGCCGCGUGAGUGAUGAAGGCCUUAGGGUUGUAAAGCUCUUUCACCGGUGAAGAUAAUGACGGUAACCGGAGAAGAAGCCCCGGCUAACUUCGUGCCAGCAGCCGCGGUAAUACGAAGGGGGCUAGCGUUGUUCGGAAUCACUGGGCGUAAAGCGCGCGUAGGCGGACUAUUAAGUCAGGGGUGAAAUCCCGAGGCUCAACCUCGGAACUGCCUUUGAUACUGACGGUCUCGAGUCCGGGAGAGGUGAGUGGAACUCCUAGUGUAGAGGUGAAAUUCGUAGAUAUUAGGAAGAACACCAGUGGCGAAGGCGGCUCACUGGCCCGGUACUGACGCUGAGGCGCGAAAGCGUGGGGAGCAAACAGGAUUAGAUACCCUGGUAGUCCACGCCGUAAACGAUGGAUGCCAGCUGUCGGGCAGUAUACUGUUCGGUGGCGCAGUUAACGCAUUAAGCAUCCCGCCUGGGGAGUACGGUCGCAAGAUUAAAACUCAAAGGAAUUGAC